UUGGAGGGCAAGUCUGGUGCCAGCAGCCGCGGUAAUUCCAGCUCCAAUAGCGUAUAUUAAAGUUGUUGCAGUUAAAAAGCUCGUAGUUGAAUUUCGGGGUCAGUAGGUUGGUCAUGCCACUGGUAUGUACUGGUCUCACUGAUUCCUCCUUCCUGAUGAACUGUAAUGCCAUUAAUUUGGUGUUGCAGGGAAUCUGGACUGUUACUUUGAAAAAAUUAGAGUGUUUAAAGCAGGCUUAGCCUGAAUACAUUAGCAUGGAAUAAUGAAAUAGGACGUUCGAUCCUAUUUUGUUGGUUUCUAGGAUUGACGUAAUGAUUAAUAGGGAUAGUUGGGGGCAUUAGUAUUCAAUUGUCAGAGGUGAAAUUCUUGGAUUUAUUGAAGACUAACUACUGCGAAAGCAUUUGCCAAGGAUGUUUUCAUUAAUCAAGAACGAAAGUUAGGGGAUCGAAGACGAUCAGAUACCGUCGUAGUCUUAACCAUAAACUAUGCCGACUAGGGAUCGGAUGAUGUUAAUUUUUUAAUGACUCACUCGGCGCCUUACGGGAAAC
rnacentral:rRNA from 1 species